AAAAAGUGAAUAACUUCGCAGUUCUCGUUCAGUUCACCAAAGGCUAUCAACUGAGAAGGACAUUAAUAAAAAUCGAAACCGACAUUGAGAAAACCAUUGCACGUAUACAGAAAUAAAUUUUAACUUCUCGCGCACUAAACGGUAUGUAUUAUUAUAUAAUAUGUAAAGAAAAUUUACUUAAUCAUUUACUCAAAAUGAUACGAUAAUCCUCAUUAUAAGCCCAUUUAUAAUUUAAAACUAUUAUAUUGUACUUAAAAAUUUUCCAACUUUCUUACGAAAUUUACAAUUAAUCACUUAUGAAACACAAAUUUAUUUAAGAUAUAUAUUCAAAAUUACCAAAUAUAUUGCACUUUCUAUGUUAACUAAGACUUCAUAAUUUUUCAAAAAAUUCCUGAUAGA